CCCGCUGACGAGCGGCGGACGGGUGAGUAAUGCAUAGGAAACUGCCCAGUAGUGGGGGAUAGCCCGGGGAAACCCGGAUUAAUACCGCAUACGUCCUUCGGGAGAAAGCAGGGGAUCUUCGGACCUUGCGCUAUUGGAUGUGCCUAUGUCGGAUUAGCUGGUUGGUGAGGUAAUGGCUCACCAAGGCGACGAUCCGUAGCUGGUCUGAGAGGAUGAUCAGCCACAUCGGGACUGAGACACGGCCCGAACUCCUACGGGAGGCAGCAGUGGGGAAUAUUGGACAAUGGGGGCAACCCUGAUCCAGCCAUGCCGCGUGUGUGAAGAAGGCUUUCGGGUUGUAAAGCACUUUCAGUGAGGAGGAAAAGUUAGUCCUUAAUACGGGCUAGCCUUGACGUUACUCACAGAAGAAGCACCGGCUAACUCCGUGCCAGCAGCCGCGGUAAUACGGAGGGUGCAAGCGUUAAUCGGAAUUACUGGGCGUAAAGCGCGCGUAGGUGGUUUGAUAAGCGAGAUGU
rnacentral:rRNA from 1 species